rnacentral:rRNA from 1 species
UACGUAGGGGCAAGCGUUGUCCGGAAUCAUUGGGCGUAAAGCGCGUGUAGGCGGCUUGGUAAGUCCGCUCUGAAAGCCCGGGGCUCAACUCCGGGCCUGCAGUCGAUACGGGCUGGCUUGAGUGCGGUAGGGGAGACUGGAAUUCCUGGUGGUAGCGGUGAAAUGCGCAGAUAUCAGGAGGAACACCGGUGGCGAAGGCGGGUCUCUGGGCCGUAACUGACGCUGGAGGAGCGAAAGCGUGGGGAGCGAACAGGG